GACGAACGCUGGCGGCGUGCCUAACACAUGCAAGUCGAACGGAGUGUUUCGCUGAUUUGAAGGUAGCUUGCUACUGAAUUUUCUUGAGACACUUAGUGGCGGACGGGUGAGUAACGCGUGAGCAACCUGCCUUUUCAGAGGGGGACAACAGUUGGAAACGACUGCUAAUACCGCAUGAUGUAUCUUGUAGGCAUCUACGAGAUACCAAAGAUUUAUCGCUGAAAGAUGGGCUCGCGUCCGAUUAGGUAGUUGGUGAGGUAACGGCUCACCAAGCCGACGAUCGGUAGCCGGACUGAGAGGUUGAACGGCCACAUUGGGACUGAGACACGGCCCAGACUCCUACGGGAGGCA
rnacentral:rRNA from 1 species